GACGAACGCUGGCGGCGCGUCUAAGACAUGCAAGUCGAACGAUUAAAGCCCCCUUCGGGGGUAUAUAAAGUGGCGAACGGGUGAGUAACACGUAGCUAACCUGCCCUUCAGACCGGGACAACGGUGCGAAAGCGCCGCUAAUACCGGAUACGCCGUUUGGUCUUCCCGGCUGAACGUGAAAGUGGGUUUCGGCCCACACUGAAGGAGGGGGCUGCGGCCUUUUAGCUAGUUGGUGAGGUAACGGCCCACCAAGGCUACAAUGGGUAGCUGAUCUGAGAGGAUGGUCAGCCACACUGGGACUGAGACACGGCCCAGACUCCUACGGGAGGCUG
rnacentral:rRNA from 1 species